rnacentral:rRNA from 1 species
GACGAACGCUGGCGGCGUGCCUAACACAUGCAAGUCGAGCGGGAUCCAACCGGUGGCAACACCGGGGAAGAUCUAGCGGCGAACGGGUGAGUAACACGUGAGCAACCUGCCCCGAAGACUGGGAUAACACCGGGAAACCGGUGCUAAUACCGGAUGUCGUCAUUAGGCCGCAUGACCUGAUGAUGAAAGGAUUCAUCGCUUCGGGAGGGGCUCGCGGGCUAGCAGCUUGNGGUGGGGUAACGGCCUACCAAGGCGACGACGGCUAGCUGGUCUGAGAGGACGACCAGCCACACUGGGACUGAGACACGGCCCAGACUCCUACGGGAGGCAGCAGUGGGGAAUCUUGCGCAAUGGGCGAAAGCCUGACGC